GACGAACGCUGGCGGCGUGCUUAACACAUGCAAGUCGAACGGAAAGGCCCUGCUUGCAGGGUCCUCGAGUGGCGAACGGGUGAGUAACACGUGGGUGAUCUGCCCUGCACUUCGGGAUAAGCCUGGGAAACUGGGUCUAAUACCGGAUAGGAGCCAUUUUUAGUGUGAUGGUUGGAAAGUUUUUUCGGUGUAGGGUGAGCUCGCGGCCUAUCAGCUUGUUGGUGGGGUAAUGGCCUACCAAGGCGGCGACGGGUAGCCGGCCUGAGAGGGUGGACGGCCACAUUGGGACUGAGAUACGGCCCAGACUCCUACGGGAGGCAGCAGUGGGGAAUAUUGCACAAUGGGCGCAAGCCUGAUGCAGCGACGCCGCGUGGGGGAUGACGGCCUUCGGGUUGUAAACUCCUUUCGCUAGGGACGAAGCUUUUUGUGACGGUACCUAGAUAAGAAGCACCGGCUAACUACGUG
rnacentral:rRNA from 1 species